rnacentral:tRNA from 1 species
GCCGGGGUAGCUCAAUCGGUAGAGCGUGUGGCUCUUAUCAUCGAGAGAACAACCUCAAGGUCGCGGGUUCGAGCCCCGCCUUCGGCU